GGGGAAUUGGCGGCGUGCUAUACAUGCAGUCGAGCGAGUGAAACUAACUGAUUCCUUCGGGAUGACGUUAGUGGAUCUAGCGGCGGACGGGUGAGUAACACGUGGGCAACCUACCUACAAGAUCGGGAUAACUCCGGGAAACCGGGGCUAAUACCGGAUGAUAUUUUUCUUCGCAUGAAGAGAAAAUGAAAGGCGGCGUAAGCUGUCACUUGUAGAUGGGCCCGCGGCGCAUUAGCUAGUUGGUGAGGUAACGGCUCACCAAGGCCACGAUGCGUAGCCGACCUGAGAGGGUGAUCGGCCACACUGGGACUGAGACACGGCCCAGACUCCUACGGGAGGCAGCAGUAGGGAAUCUUCCGCAAUGGACGAAAGUCUGACGGAGCAACGCCGCGUGAGCGAUGAAGGUCUUCGGAUUGUAAAGCUCUGUUGUUAGGGAAGAACAAGUACAAGAGUAACUGCUUGUACCUUGACGGUACCUAACCAGAAAGCCACGGCUAACUACGUGCCAGCAGCCGCGGUAAU
rnacentral:rRNA from 1 species